UGUCCCUCCAUCUCUCUCUCCCUCCAUCUCUCUUGUGGGAGCAAAUAUAACACAUAGACAAAUGCAUAAGAUGUAUAGAAUAGCUGAACACUAAAAACAGACUACAUGAAGGAAAGGUGACACAGGUGCUAGGAUAGCUGGACAUACCAAGGCCGGAGGGAUAUACAAAGGAGGGGGUCAGUCAAAUGACUAACUGAUGACCAAUAGACAUAGUUCGCAUAUUUUUAGGACGUAGAGAUGCAGAAGGAAUGACAGAGAAGACACAUAGUCUGUUGCUCUGAGAUAAAGACACACAUACAUAGUAACAUAUUGAGCUAAGUGCAGAGCCAAAGCAUAGGGCUGUAAAAUAGAGGAAUGUAUAGUAUUUUUAGUAUAGCUGGACACGCUAGAAACUGAGGAGACACAUAGUCUGCUGAUCCUAGAUAAUACACAAACAAAAGAAUGCAUUUAGCUAAGUGCAGGAACAAAGCAAGGGUCUUGUCAUCAUUAUAAUCUGACGGAAAGCAGGUAUGGGCGUUAUUGAGCUGAACAAGCAGGAUGCACGGAUUGGAAUGUAACGUAAUUUACAUGUGGGAUGGGCUCAUAUGCAAUAUGUGGAUAAAUACUGGAGCCAGGGCUCUGGAAAAGGUGUGUGUUCCGCGGGGCACUCCGGCUUGCUAUACUGUUGUAUUAAAGCCUGAUUGAUUUCACAAAGUUCUGGUAUGCGUUGUAUUUGAUCCGAUUUUCCGCCACAGAUUUGGCGAGCUUUUCCAGGAGUGACAGGGGCCGAGGCCUCCUGGCUGACGGCGGGGUCUUUGGACGAUCUAGGCAAACAAGAGUGGCCACCCAGCUAUUAAAAGGUAAGCAAAGUAUUUACAAAAGUGAAAUGUUUGCGUAGAUCGCUUCAGAGAUCCUGCCUCAGCAAGAGGAACGUCAAGUAGGUCUCUCUCUCAAAUUUCCUAAAAACUAUAGAAACGAAAGAACUUUUUGAAUUCAAUGAAUUGCAUGCAUGUGUGUAAACUUGGGAACUGUAUAAUGAAUGUGCAUGUUUGGUGAAUAAAUAAGCGGGGGCUGUGAACUUUGCUCGUUGAGUCAUUCGCAGGGGACUGUUGUGUGAGCUGACUGGUUAGCGCUCUCUGGCAGAGUGAUUGGAAUCAGGCACAGGGCUACAGCCGUCUGUUUAUAUAUUUAGAAAAUAGAUAAGUAGUAGAAUAGAUAAAAUAUUCAUGGCUACCGCUUCAAGGAAAAGGUCUGUACGGAUGGGUAUUUAGUAAAUAGAUACACAUGGCUACCGCUUUGAAAUGAAGGUCUGUUACGGGUGAAUAUGUUAGAACGUUAGCCCGAUUGUGCGACGUUAAAGAUAUAGAUAAACUAUUCAUGGCUACCGCUUCAAGGAAAAGGUCUGUACGGAUGGGUAUUUAGUCAAUAGAUACACAUGGCUACCGCUUUGAAAUGAAGGUCUGUUACGGGUGAAUAUUUUAGAACGUUAGUCUGAUUGUGCGACGUUCAACUGAAAAAGGAAAUCCUGCGAAUAUAAAACGCUCCGUCUAGCUAAACGGGGGUUUACAAACAGUAGGUCGCGCCACGAUAUUGCUCUAACGUAGAAUAAAGAUCAAUACGGGGUGGAUGAAUAGGAUAUGAAGACAAGCUGAUCCGAUUAGACAGUAGUCUUGUCAUGUCGUAAAAAUCCUAUAGGAUAAUACCUGUUUAUGUAGAGGAAGUGAAUUAAACUAGGUAAUAGACUAUAGGUCGUUUUUUAGGUAAAAAACGAAGGGUAUGAGUGAAAAACCAUAUAGGAUAACACCAGCUUAUGUUGAGGAAGUGAAUUAAGUUAGGUAGUAGACUGUUUUGUUUUUAGAGAAUGCUUGUCAUCCGGUCAAAUUAGACUUAUGUUGUGGGAAGUGAAUUAAGUCUAGAGGAAGAGACUGGUUUGUUUUUAGGUCAAAACAAAAGUAUUGAAUGAAUGAAUGAGAAAGAUGUUGUAAUACAAUUCUGUGUGAGGAUAGAACUGUAAAGAUAGGAACAAGUUGGAUGUGGUUAGACGGAACGUUCAGAAGAGGGGGUGCGCAGCCCUCCUGUGACAGAGUAUAUAGUCAGAUUUCUUCUGACUGGCCAAAAGUGAUCCUCUAUCAGCUUAAUACAUUUACAGAGUGAUCCCUAUCAUAGUUUAAAUACUAUUAGGUAGAGGGAACAAAAGUAAGGAACAUCAAAAUAAAAUAAGCGAUUGCGGUAAGAAUAAUGAAAAGGUGUCGAAACAAGUAAUACAAAUAAUUAAAGAAGCAUUACCCGGAUAGUAUAAAACGGAUGCGAAGUAGGAAGAAAUAAUUUAAAAAAUAUAGAGAUAGACUAAAAUAUACUGGCUAAAAUAAAUCUAGGCGGUCUAGAAUAAAGUGAGAAGUCUAGAACACAUUAAAAAUAUCACGAGCCCCGUAAACAAAAUAGGAAGCUGUAAUUUAAAAACAGCCUCAGGAAUUAAACAGUAAAAUAAACUAAGCAGUAAUACAGUUGUAGACAUUAUAGAGUAGGUUUUAAUAGGAGGUAUUAAGUGAUGUGACUAAUGAAUUAUUAUCUGGGAAAGUAGGGUAGCUCUACCUUGGAAGAUAAUAAAUAAAGUGUAUAAUGCGAUGGGAGUGUUUAGGGGAAAUAAAUAGUGGCAUGGAAACAAACGGACUGUUUCUCCCUGGAAUAUAGAGAUAGCGAGAUUUAAUAAAGCCAUAGAGUCGCUGAAAGAAGCGCACGUUAAUUCUACCAAUUCAAUUUGAAUAUGAAGGAGCAAACCGUAUAAUGUAGGGCAACAUUACCCGGUAAACAGGAUAAAUAAAAUAAUGAAUUGGAACAAUCACAUAAAACCAUAACAAGAAGCUUAACUUACCAGCGUUUUAAUGUUAAUUAACAUUCUAUCAUCAGAAAUACAUUACGAUGGGGGAAGCGUAAGAAGUUGUAGAUCAGGGCUAACUAGUGUGGGGGAACUUGAGUGUAAGAUGACACUGGAAUGCGGUAGCAGAGAAUGCCGAUAUACAGGACUUUGCACCCUUUUCAAAAGAACAACAACUAAUCAUUUUGAGGUUAGUCAGAAUGGAAUUUUCACCAAGCGGUGUAUAGAAUCUGAUUGAUCAAUAAGUGGUUCAUAGAGAGUACAGUUUAUAUGUGAUGAAAUACGUACUAGAUCAUGUUUUACCUAACUUCUAGUAAGGUACCGAUGUAAUUUACAAAUAGCCCCACUUGGAGUCGUUUUGCAUUAAAAUGGCGGUUUCAAUGGUGAUAAAAUGCGUGGAGGAAGUUGUUGUUAGCGUCAAAUAACCGAUCAGGAAGGAACUAUGCGUUCUGUGCAUGGCUAAAACUUUUAUCGCAUGCUCAGGAAAAGUAAGGGGAUUUUAGUUUUGUUAGACAUAGCGUCAUUUUCUGAAACUGCUAAGACGCUUAGAGAAUAAAGUAUAUAUGUAGUACUAUUGGCUUGCUGAUUUAAAAGGUAACAUUGUGAACGUUAACGAAAUGGACAUUUCUGUUCCAGAAAAAAGGGGUUACAUUUUCUCUGGUCAUUGGAGACUGUGGUACUGAGGAAAGCAGUUAGAGAUAUUCGGCCAUUUUUAAAAGUCUUAGUAUCUGGUUAAGGCUAUAACUGGAGUUCCGGAUAAGUGAGGCCAGCUUAUGUAUAUUCUUGGCCUAUAUACAAGAGUGGAUUUCCUUUGGAGGGGUUUUUGUUCAGUUCAGUUUCAAAUUGGGUAAAUGUUUUUGAAAAUGUAUUUAAGCUGUUUCUAAAGAAAAGAGAGUGAAAACAUUAUAAUGGUGUCAAAUGCCCUGAACCCUAAGAAUUUCCAGUGAAGACUGAUCAACUUCACUAGAAAUUGUUGGAACAGGUGGGAUUUAAUUAUAAAAUGAUUGAGAAACACCAGUCUCUAUUCAAAGUGUACCAUCACUUUGAAAUUCCAUUAUUUCCUUGGGAAAAAGAUGAAGAGUUGUAAUCUUGAAUUGACUAGUUAUUCAAAUUGGUUUAUUUUCAUUUAACAUGGGGUUAUAGGAGUAAUUAUCAGUUCCCUGAGGUUAUGGUCUUUGGGUAAAUACAAAAUGUGCUUUGUUCAUUCUACAUAUAAAAUGGAAAUAUAUGUAAACAAUGGAUAACAGUAAAUAGGUUAUUGGAGUGGGAGUUUCUGAAAGGGUUAUGUUGAUAACUACAUCAUCUGUAACUCAUCUGAGAGGUCGCCAGUAGAAUAAGGGAGUUAUCAUGGAAAUGUAAUGUCAGAAUGCAUUAAUGCUUGGGAGAGACUAUCACCACAACAAGUGUGUGUGAAACUCAAACCCACCCUACUGGCUGAAUAGUGUGGGACAACUGUGUCUGAUGACCUGUGAACUGUAUCUGGAAUGAUAUGUGUCUGGGAGAAGAAAGACUAAAGGGGAUUGGGGUAAUGACCUUUUAGUAUCAGGCCACUCAUGACAGAAAAACAGAGGCAAAAGGGCGCAUGGUAAAAUAGAUAUUACUGGUACUAAAAGUUGUUAGUAUAAUGUUAAUUAUUAAAGGGAUGAUGUAUUAAAUUGAGUAGGUAAAAUUUGAGUUAAAGUAAACACUAAGGACUGUUAUCCUGAAUAUUGGAUUGGACCAUUUAUAAACAACAUUUAGUUAUGUUUUGGCUAUAGGACUGUUUAAAUUUACUAGGCCUAGGAAAACUCUGGAAACUAAUCCUGAGACAGGUUGAUUGACAGAACUUGCAGAAUAUUAGAUUAUUUUAUUUUACAAUAUCAUUGUAAUUGGAGGGAUACAUUGGAAUGACAUAAGUAAUUGAAUAAAAAGUAUAGUCUGUUGUGUGAUAACACCCAAGGAUGAAAAAGACAUUACAAAUAGUGGUAAUUUAUUGCAAAUAUGCAGUUAUUAUAAUUUACUUUACUAUUUUUCUUGUUUGGUCAAUUUAUUUUUGUUUUGAGGAAAAUAUAUUUUUUCUGAGAGGAGACUGAUAUAAAUUGACUAAAAAUGAUUUAAGAAUAUUUAAGUAUGUAUCAAACUAUGGAAGGAAAUUAGCAGUAGUGACUUAUGUGUUAUGGGUUAGAAAAACUGUAACUACAUUGGGGGCUCAUAUGAAGGUUAUGGUAACAAGGGGGGGUGUUAUUUCUAGAAACAAUGUAUAUUGAUAGACAAGAUAAUUCACAGAAAAGGAAGGACAGUUGGUCUUGUAAAAAUAUAGGGAAAAUUCUAAAAAUAGAUAGAACAUUACACAUACCUAGAUUAUGGUAAAAGUAAUAAGUAGUGGCAUUUUGAAGAAGCUUAGGACUUAGUUUUGUUAGGAUUGGAUAUUCUUUCAACUGGAAGACACUUGACUGAUUACAUGUUAUUCUUACAGCAGUUGCUGUAGGUGCCAUAAUUUGGCUAUCAUUAUGAAUAUUUUUGUGGCAAGAGGCCAGGUAUUUGAGACAGAAUGUUUACAUAACAGAAUGUUUACAUAGGGCUGUUAUUUAAGAAAGUCUGUUGUCAGGAAAUAACCCAUGUGUUAGUUGUGUAUAUCCCCAGGAAAAGACAGCACAUAAGACGCCAGAUGGAAGGGCAUGGGCUGAAUUCUGGAGACUGAGUGUACGUCAAGAUACACCAGGCUGGGGAUAUACUUCUUACAGCACCUGCAGUGUCUUAUGUUUAGGAAACCAGAUGGAGAAGGGUUCGCCAGCUUCAGCUGGAAUGUCAGUUUGUGUGAUGAGUGAUGGAAGUAAGAGAAUGUAUGGUGUAAUCGUAGAACAGAGGCCAUAAGUCUUUAAGUAUGAAUGCCCCACAGAAAGAAGGCAGAAACCUGAACCAGGACGAGAGGUUCCACAUCUGAUGAUCCAAGGGGACCAGAAGGACCUCUCCCAGUGAUACCAGGAGAUCCAGUCUACGUUCAAGUGUUCCGAAGGAAGUGGGAUCAGCCGAGGAGGGAAGGACCCUAAGAGGUGGCAACAGCCACAAACACGGCCGUCCAAGUGAAAGGAAGCAAGACGUGGUAUCAUCUAAACCACUGCACCCGAGUCCCUGAUGGAGAGAAGGACACAAUCAUACAGAGAUGAGGACACAGAGGAUGCUGAUUCACCAGGCGGGACCCCGGAGGGAGCAGGAGCAGCGGAAACGAUCAAAGCGCCGGGGAGGAAUCAAGAAAAUGGCAGACCAGAUACAACGAGUGCAUCAACUAACGCACUCCGAAGAAGCACCAGGGGAAAAGAGCCUGAAAAGAAAAGAGACAAAUAACCAAAGUUUCCUCCAGUACGGCCAGAAAGCCCAGAAGUGGGGGGUAAACAUGUCUGCUACUCCUGAUGAUUUACCUGUUGGGGCAGACCUUGUUGACGGAAGCCCUCUACAGUGGGACCCCAAGGUAUCGCCUAAAGAAUGGGAACAUCUCUUCCCUGAAAUGGACGCCUUCCCAGAUGGAAGCCAAGUUCGGCCUGAGGAGGGAACAACAGGCGAAGAAAGUGGAGGAGAAGCAUUACCAAGAGCAGAAGGAGAAAUCUUGCAAGAUGAAAGAAAUGGGGAUUUCCCCACAAUUGACUUUUCAGCCCUUACCUGGUGUCCAUAAUGAACAAUUGAAAUUAGGACCACAAAAGAACAGUGACAAUGGUAGAGUGAGAACAACUAAGGACAAUAUGGAAAUGAUGCAUACACUCACGAUCAAGAUAAAUGAUAAAAACAGGAAGAGAAGAGAGGAACCUGUUGAACAAGAUGAAAAGACAGGAUUUUUUUUGACAGGUUUAAGUUUCAUGUUCCGCCACAAAGGACAGGUUCUGUAUGGAAGAAGAAACCUGUACCGGAGGAGCCACUCUGUGGAUGGACGCAUCAUAUAACAAAGGGAGAAGCUGUUUGGGACCCCAAAGGAUGUGACCUGACAUUAAUCAAAUGUGUGGAAGAGUGGGUGCUCACCAUGAAUCAGAUUGAACCAGUUGAAGGUGAAAUAACGAGAACAAGAUUGACUGAAGGGAGUAGUUCCUCAGUCAUUCAGAAUUUGUCUUACGCCAAUACCUAAACAGGAAGAGCCUGUGGGAGCUAGAAAGCAUCAGAACCAGGAGGGUUCUUUACUGACAUUUGGAUUUUUUUUACAAACUCUAGUGACCUACCUCAAGACAAGAACAUUGCAAAGAUGACAGAUAUAGAUGUAUCAGGCUCAGAACCGUUCAAGGACACUACACAGGAAGAAGAGGUGAAAAACGAAUGGUACAAAUGGGCUAAGUAUACAGCAAACAAGCACAGAAUGGACAAUUGUGUAUUGUGUAGUAAAUCUCCUUUGUCGGAUCUCAUAAUAGUUCCUGAACCAGCAUCAUUUAAAGACUGUGCAAUUUGGAAAAAUGAUCAUUGUACCAACAGAAAGUAUUCUAUUCCCUUGUGUGACAUAGAAUGUAGGAUUGCCCAAGGGAGCACUAGAGGAAGAACCAUGUUGAACGUGACUGGGUUGGGAGACAAGGAUUGUGCUGCCUAUAACAUUAAAACUGAAUUAAAUGGACCUCAAUUA